rnacentral:lncRNA from 1 species
UGACUAAUUGCAACAUUAUAUUUUGAUGACACGAAAGCAGAACAGAUCAAGUUUAAGGACAGCGCAAACGAUAAAUGGAUCAAAAGCAACCAUAACACCAUGAACAUAAACAGAUCCACCCAACUCAGGAAAGUUUGAUGGAAUGUUAUAGUAGAACUCUUGAACCAUAGAUAAAUUGAAAUUGGGAGGAGGAGAAUUUACUCUUGAAGUCAGUGGCGAUCAACUCAGUCAUUAGAACGGAUAACAUCAUCAAAGGAGAGAUCAUCCCAGAUGAUCCUUCGUUUAAGCAUUACCUUAUGAGCAGCCACCAUGGAGAAAAAGUUCGUGGCUUGAGUGGAUGAAAAGAUGAGAACUUGAUCAUCACUUGCAGCUCUAAAGGAAUUCCUUGUAGUUUUUUAUCGAGUAGAGCGACAAGGGGGCUGAGCAUGGGCAGAAGUCGAGUUGCCGGCCAUUUGUGAAGAAAAUUUUCUGGCGAAAGAGUUUGAGAAAUAAGGAAAAGGGAACUAAAAGCAAAUGACACAAAAUGAAAAGGGUAAAAACCUAGUUGGGUAAGAGAAGUUUAAAACCUAGGACAUUGUGAAGAAAUAUAAGUCGUGCGAUGAAAAACCAAUGGAUGAGAUGUACCUAGUUAAAAACAGAUGGUGUAAAGACAAGAAUACCCUUAAUGAACCUCACCUUUCUAAGUAGAUAGCCUGACUAGUCAGAAGGUUGGAAUUUACUACAACACAACUAAUAAAGUGCAACAAUAUGUAAUCACAAGGGAAGACAACACACAAACAUAAGAAAACAAGCUACAGAUACAAACUUAGCACCAUUUGAGUUACAACCAACUACGAACUUCACAGAGAAAAUCCAAGUACGAAAAGAUUCAAUAACCAAGCUUCCAUGACAAAUUUAAAUUUUAUUUUCUGACAAAGUAAGCAUAUUAGAAAAGAAACAUGCAAUGCAAUACUUCAAGAACAAAUCUUUAGAGUCACACAUGUAUAGCACAACAUAGAUUAACACUCGUUCAUACCACAUCCAUGAUGUGUCAGGGUAUGGGAAAGGGAUUGGUGAUAGCCAUUGAAAACUAAGUUACAUGCAACUAAGCAAAGAUUUAAUUCAAAAGCUAAUCAAACUUUUAAUAACCCAUUGAGAUUAAGUCACAACCCUCACAACAUAAAUUGAGCCAAAUCUAAAUGCAAAACUACUCACAAUGAAGAACCAAGCCUAAAAGAACUUAUAAGUUGGCAAAUGAGAUACAAUGCACAUGACAAUUUGAUGCGUAAAUUAACUUAACACCCAAAUUAAACCCUCUUGUUGACAAUUGUAGUAUAUGUAUAAGUAGGGAUUGUUCUUAAACCGGGGAUUAGGAGGGAUUGCUAAACACUCUAAACUGACUCAAAUAGAUAAAACUAAGCUUUAAAACACUUAACUAGACUCAAAAGACUCAAAACAAACUCAAAAGACUCAAAACAAGCUAAAAACACUCAAAACUGCCUAAAAACACAAACUGGGCAGUUUUGAGCUCU